CAGGAGGAGAGGGAGUCCACCAGGAUGGGGCAGCGUGCCCCACUCAGCAGCCCCGGGAUGGCGGAAAAAGAAAACAGUGAGGCCCUGUCAAUCGCACCAAGGUGGCACUGCCUCGCUGGGGAACAAAGCUGUCCCUGCCCAGGCUCCAAGACUCUGAAAUGGAGGAGGCAGGUGGAGCGACGGGGCCCGGAAGGGCAGGAGACCAGCGUAUUUUUAACCUAUUGAUUUAUAUUUUAUAUGGUCUCGCUGUCCCCAGAGAGGCUCGUGUGGAGCCAGAGCACAACAGCUGGAAGGAGCCUCAAAGUCAGUUUUAUCCAGCACCAUCCAGGAUGAAAUCAUUGCUCCAUCAGCCAGGAUGCAGGCUUCGCUCCAGUGCCUCCAGGGACGGAUGCAGCUCUCACCCUUCCCCAGCACUCGCUCGGGCUGCUGUGGGCUGCUGGGUUUGGAAGCUGGCCCUUGGGGAGGCUGAGCUCAUCUGGGAACUCCUGCUACGUGGGCCAGCACUGCGGCCAAGGAUGCUGACUAAGCAAGGCUGCUUCCUCCCCCACUUCUGGGGUGACUUCCUGCCACCCAUGCCCACCCUUUCACCGGAAACCCCAGCAGACCUAAGCCCUCACACAGGCCAGGACCCUCUUCCCUGGCUCCCCAUGUUCAGCCCUCAGAUCUCAACUUGCAGAACCCCCGAGUAAGCCCUCCUGAUGCCCAUUUCUCAGAUGAAGAAACAGAGAAUGCUGGACAUUUUGCCAAAACCACCCACACAGCAGGCGCAGGAGCUGCCGUGGCUGGGCCUGACACCAAGGGCGCUGGGCCCCUGGGGUGCUCGCCGACGGCUCCUGGAAAUGCAGCCAAGGGCAAGAAUCCUGCGCAGGUGGCCCAGAGCCACCGAAGGGGAGACCGGCAAGGGACGUGAUGCUGCCCAGGAGGGCCGGCUGCACAGGCCACUUCUUCCUGUCACCGGCUCCUGCACCCAUGUCCAGUCCUCCUCUCCCGGGCAGCAGUGCCAGAAACUGUCCUCACUUUGUAGAAAGAUCCACUUACGUGCACAUCCUUCAAUCCCUGUCCCCGAGCCCAAUGUACCCUGUCUGAUUGCUGAGUGAACUGCGGGUCCGGGUGAGUAACACACAGCCUCUUAUGUCCCA